rnacentral:rRNA from 1 species
CACUAUCGUUAACUGAAUACAUAGGUUAACGAGGCGAACCGGGGGAACUGAAACAUCUAAGUACCCCGAGGAAAAGAAAUCAACCGAGAUUCCCCCAGUAGCGGCGAGCGAACGGGGAGCAGCCCAGAGUCUGAAUCAGCUUGUGUGUUAGUGGAACGGUCUGGAAAGUCCGACGGUACAGGGUGAUAGUCCCGUACACCAAAAUGCACAGGUUGUGAACUCGAAGAGUAGGGCGGGACACGUGGUAUCCUGUCUGAAUAUGGGGGGACCAUCCUCCAAGGCUAAAUACUCCUGACUGACCGAUAGUGAACCAGUACCGUGAGGGAAAGGCGAAAAGAACCCCGGCGAGGGGAGUGAAAAAGAACCUGAAACCGUGUACGUACAAGCAGUGGGAGCACCUUCGGGUGUGACUGCGUACCUUUUGUAUAAUGGGUCAGCGACUUAUAUUCUGUAGCAAGGUUAACCGUAUAGGGGAGCCGCAGGGAAACCGAGUCUUAACUGGGCGUUAAGUUGCAGGGUAUAGACCCGAAACCCGGUGAUCUAGCCAUGGGCAGGUUGAAGGUUGGGUAACACUAACUGGAGGACCGAACCGACUAAUGUUGAAAAAUUAGCGGAUGACUUGUGGCUGGGGGUGAAAGGCCAAUCAAACCGGGAGAUAGCUGGUUCUCCCCGAAAGCUAUUUAGGUAGCGCCUCGUGAACUCAUCUUCGGGGGUAGAGCACUGUUUCGGCUAGGGGGUCAUCCCGACUUACCAACCCGAUGCAAACUACGAAUACCGAAGAAUGUUAUCACGGGAGACACACGGCGGGUGCUAACGUCCGUCGUGAAGAGGGAAACAACCCAGACCGCCAGCUAAGGUCCCAAAGUCAUGGUUAAGUGGGAAACGAUGUGGGAAGGCACAGACAGCCAGGAUGUUGGCUUAGAAGCAGCCAUCAUUUAAAGAAAGCGUAAUAGCUCACUGGUCGAGUCGGCCUGCGCGGAAGAUGUAACGGGGCUAAACCAUGCACCGAAGCUGCGGCAGCGACACUAUGUGUUGUUGGGUAGGGGAGCGUUCUGUAAGCCUGCGAAGGUGUGCUGUGAGGCAUGCUGGAGGUAUCAGAAGUGCGAAUGCUGACAUAAGUAACGAUAAAGCGGGUGAAAAGCCCGCUCGCCGGAAGACCAAGGGUUCCUGUCCAACGUUAAUCGGGGCAGGGUGAGUCGACCCCUAAGGCGAGGCCGAAAGGCGUAGUCGAUGGGAAACAGGUUAAUAUUCCUGUACUUGGUGUUACUGCGAAGGGGGGACGGAGAAGGCUAUGUUAGCCGGGCGACGGUUGUCCCGGUUUAAGCAUGUAGGCUGGUUAUCCAGGCAAAUCCGGAUAAUCAAGGCUGAGGUGUGAUGACGAGGCACUACGGUGCUGAAGUAACAAAUGCCCUGCUUCCAGGAAAAGCCUCUAAGCAUCAGGUAACAUCAAAUCGUACCCCAAACCGACACAGGUGGUCAGGUAGAGAAUACCAAGGCGCUUGAGAGAACUCGGGUGAAGGAACUAGGCAAAAUGGUGCCGUAACUUCGGGAGAAGGCACGCUGGUGUGUAGGUGAAGUCCCUGCGGAUGGAGCUGAGACCAGUCGAAGAUACCAGCUGGCUGCAACUGUUUAUUAAAAACACAGCACUGUGCAAACACGAAAGUGGACGUAUACGGUGUGACGCCUGCCCGGUGCCGGAAGGUUAAUUGAUGGGGUUAUCCGUAAGGAGAAGCUCUUGAUCGAAGCCCCGGUAAACGGCGGCCGUAACUAUAACGGUCCUAAGGUAGCGAAAUUCCUUGUCGGGUAAGUUCCGACCUGCACGAAUGGCGUAAUGAUGGCCAGGCUGUCUCCACCCGAGACUCAGUGAAAUUGAACUCGCUGUGAAGAUGCAGUGUACCCGCGGCAAGACGGAAAGACCCCGUGAACCUUUACUAUAGCUUGACACUGAACAUUGAGCCUUGAUGUGUAGGAUAGGUGGGAGGCUUUGAAGCGUGGACGCCAGUCUGCGUGGAGCCAACCUUGAAAUACCACCCUUUAAUGUUUGAUGUUCUAACGUUGGCCCCU